UACGAAGGGGGCUAGCGUUGCUCGGAAUUACUGGGCGUAAAGCGCACGUAGGCGGUCUUUUAAGUCGGGGGUGAAAUCCUGGAGCUCAACUCCAGAACUGCCUUCGAUACUGGAAGACUCGAGUCCGGGAGAGGUGAGUGGAACUGCGAGUGUAGAGGUGAAAUUCGUAGAUAUUCGCAAGAACACCAGUGGCGAAGGCGGCUCACUGGCCCGGUACUGACGCUGAGGUGCGAAAGCGUGGGGAGCGAACGGG
rnacentral:rRNA from 1 species